rnacentral:rRNA from 1 species
AUUGAACGCUGGCGGCAUGCCUUACACAUGCAAGUCGAACGGUAACGCGGGGCAACCUGGCGACGAGUGGCGAACGGGUGAGUAAUGCAUCGGAACGUGCCCGGUAGUGGGGGAUAACUGCUCGAAAGAGCAGCUAAUACCGCAUACGACCUGAGGGUGAAAGGGGGGGAUCGCAAGACCUCUCGCUAUCGGAGCGGCCGAUGUCGGAUUAGCUAGUUGGCGGGGUAAAAGCCAACCAAGGCAACGAUCCGUAGCUGGGCUGAGAGGACGACCAGCCACACUGGGACUGAGAAACGGCCCAGACUCCUACGGGAGGCAGCAGUGGGGUAUUUUGGACAAUGGACGCAAGUCUGAUUCAGCCAUGCCGCGUGCGGGAAGAAGGCCUUCGGGUUGUAAACCGCUUUUGUCAGGGAAGAAAUCUUCUGAGUUAAUACCUCGGGAGGAUGACGGUACCUGAAGAAUAAGCACCGGCUAACUACGUGCCAGCCGCCGCAGUAAGAC